UCCCUCUUUCCCGUCUCCCCGACAGAAAACAAUCUCAUGUAAGUUACACACAUACUAUCAUAUUAAACAUUUCCACAUUAGUCAUGUUGUGAAAGAAAAAUCAAAACAAAAGAAAGGGAAAAAAGCGAAAACUGUGCUUUGUUCUGCAUUCGCUCUCCGUGGUUCUUUCUCCCUUUGGAAUUGUCUUGCUGAGGAGUUAAGUCUGUUAUAGUUACCACAUAAUCUGACUGUUACUAUGUACAAUAUUCUCCUGGUCUUGCUCACUUCCCACAGUAUCAGUUCAUGUAAGUCUUCCCCGGCUCCUCUGCAAUCCACCUGCUUGUCAUUCCCCCCAUUAAGAGUAUUUCAUUUUUUCUAAAUAUAUGUAAAGAUUGUUUUCAACAUUCAUUUCUGUGAGAUUUUAUGUUCCAAAAUUUUUUUCUCCCUUCCUCCCCCACCUCAUCCAGACAGCAAUCUCAUAAGGUUAAAUAUGUACAGUCCUACACAAAAGGGGAAAAUACUAUGAGAAAAAAAGCAAACAAUAAAAAGGGUAAAGACAGCGUGCUUUGAUCCACAUUCAGUUUUUAGUUUUCUCUGGUGGGGAUGGCAGUUUCCAUCCCAAGUCUUUUGGAAUUGUACUGGAUGACUACACUGCAGCUGCUCAUCACAGAACCUUCUUAUAGAACAUAUCCCAUGACUUUCCUGUACUACAGCCAUUCCCCAGCUGAUGAGCAUCUACUCAAUUUCCAGCUCUUGUCACACACAAAGGGCUGCUACAAACAUUUGCGCCCGUGUGGGUCGUUUCCCUUUUUUAUGAAGUAGUGGUACUGCUGGAUCAAAGGGUCUGUGCAGUUUUAUAGCCCUUUGGGGAUAGUUCCAAUUGCUCCAACUCUCACGAGAAGAUGAGGUUCCCAGAGUGGAACAGCUGCUUCUCCUCUCAGGGUUCUAACACUGGAUAACUCUGAGGGGCUGGGGUCUCCAACUAUUCAGAUAGAUGGGUCCAUCUGAGGAGCCAGUGUCCUUCCCCCAAAGAGGCAGUAGGGUGGCCUGAGAGCACUUAAGUUCAAAUAUGGCCUAAGACACUUCCUAACUUAUGAUCUGAGUGAAUCAUUUAACCUCUACCACAGUUUCCUCAACUGUAAAAUGGAAAUGAUUUUGACCCCUCCCUUGUGGUGAGAAUCAAAUGAGAUCAUAUUUAUAAAGCAUUUAGGCAAGUGUAUGGCACAUAGUAGGCAUCUAAUAAUUCAUCUGGAAGAAGAAAAUGUCAAGAAUAUCAAGGAAAUUAAUGAAAAAGUACAAAGGUCUGUUGCUAUUAAUUAGCUUUAAUGAACAUUUUAUUGAGAAGGAAUAGCAAAGAAAGAAGUUCAAAAGCAGGCCCCCUCCCCCCCCCCAAACCAGGGACACAAUUUCCUAUGAAAAGAGCGCCCUCACUCAAAGUGGUGGGGGGAAAAUAUUCGCUCACCCAACCCCGGAGCACACUCUUCAUCCUGUAUGAUACAAGGUCCUUGGGAUGACCCAGAGAACGGUGGGGCCUGAGGGUACCUCACACUUCGCGGCCCUGGGAGUCUAUUUCUCCCUUUAAGGAAUCCCCACAAAGUUUGGGUCAGGGAAUGGUGCCAACCUGGGCAAGGUACCCCUUAUUCCUUGCAGGAUGAAGUAGCCGGGCCAGUCUCCCACUGGACCAGGGCCUAAUCAGGCUUCGGACUUCCCGCUCCCACUGACGAGGAAGCCUCCAAAGGCUCUUUUAAUAUUCUGAAGUUCUCAGGGUUAUAACCUGAUAAACCCCCUAUCUGAACACUCUUUCACAUCAGAGGAAGAAUAAAGGCAAAGCAAAUGGGGGCCAUGCGCUUGGGACACAGGUGGGAGAGAGAAGGCGCUCAAAGCAUCCUCCUCCGCUGCGACUGUCAGGGAGGAAACAGCAUCCAUCAUAACCUUUGGCAACCAUUCUUAUGCCUCUGGGUGGCACCAAUAGAACCCACUUCCCUCCACAACUGCAGUCCUUCCCUGGUCCACGGCUGGGCUCCCUCCUCUCCCCCCACCCCCUAUUAAAUCUCUUUUGUUGGAGGCAGAUCCAGAUUUGGCAGUGUUGUCUUGGUCCCUGGGACCGUUCUCACUCUGCAGGGUGGGCAGCCAGCUCUGUAAUGCCAAAGGUCACUUUUAAUGGGGUGACCAGUUCCUCCAUUUGUCCCAUUUCGUAUUCUGCCUUAAGGUUAUGACCGUCCCCUCUUAAUGGUUGAAAUAAAGGUGUUAUACACAUUCCUUAAUGUCUUUAGAAUAUCAGUAACCUCCUUCUAUGAGGCUAUCCCCACCUAGGUCUCUGUAUUAUGUCAUUGUUUUAACUAUUGAAAUUUGUAAUUGUUUUAACUAUUGAAUUGGUCUCUAAUCUCUGUCUUGCUCAGUUUCUUUUGGCAUUACAGCUCCAUCCUGGGUCCUGGCUAUCAGGGUGGCCAUUGUGCUGAGCAGAGGGCUUAAGGCUUCCCCAGGUGUUUGCCUUUAUAACAUCGCAAUGGUAUCAGUUGUUCUCCAGUUCCUGCUCCCUUUGCUUUGUAGCAGCUCGGCUUCCCCCGGGCGUCUCUGAACCCCUCCUUAUUCCUCAAGACACAAUAAUAUCCCAUCAUAUUUAUAUCCACUUCUGGCAACUCAGGAAGGCUAAGUUGCAGAAAAAGGAGCUAGUUCCAUUAAUAAACGGAGUUUCCUCCCAUGAGACAAACUCAAGAUCUACAUGAUUAUUUAAUGCACAUUCUCUGAUUGAGAGCCAUCCCCUUGGUUUCCUGGCUGCCUUUACAAAAUGUGCUUCUACAAAUACUUUUGUAUAUGACAGUACUUUCAUUCUUCCUUUUAAUAAGAUUUAUCCUUCCUCCCUCCUUUUCUUCUUUCCUCUUUCCCUCUCUCCCUCCUUCCUUACUUCUGUGUGGUUCAGACAGCAUUUAAUAAAAAAGCUGGAAAGAUAUCUAGAAGCAAAGCAAAGUUUAACAUAUAUUCUUGGGAGAAUCGGGUGUCAUCCCCCCAUCCUGAGUAGACAAUUGAAGGGAGGAGGCACCUUUGGGUUGCAGGAUCAACACUUUUAAUACCUAACGCAAAUACCCCCUCCCACCAUUGACCCUCAUCUUUAUUGGUUGAGGAGCUUACAUUUUACACGUUGGAACUACACAAGAAAUUGAACUUGACCAAUGAGUACAUACUUUCCCAUAUUUGACUGAAAUAGGGAGGGUAACAAGAAGGGGACUUAAGUAUGCCCUCAGGAGGACAGUAGGGAGGGGGCUUAAGUGUGCCCUUGACUCAAUGCUCAAAGUCCUUCAGGCCUACUCAAACUUUGAAAUAGAUGAAGCCUUAUCGAUUUUCACAAGUGUCUUGAAAGAUCUCAUCUCGAUCCGUCCCCCCUCUUAUUUGUACAAUGAGAUCUCUUCAAAUUCUGGUAGCCUAACUUCACAUUCCCAAUCGAAUUCCUCAUCCCCUUCUGGCUCCCAUCCUUUUAACGCCAUCAAUCUUAACAGAGCCUUCAGCUUUCUCUUCCAACUCAAUCAUUCUAGAUAAUGAGGUUUGGACUAUUCUGGUUAUCAAUGGGAUCAAACAAGGUAUGCAGAUAGGGAGUAAUAUAACACCACUGAGAGCUAUAAGGCCAAACCAAAGGAGCUGCUCCCACCAGCUUCCCCCAAACCAGGACCACCAGGAAGUAUUGAACGGUGAGGUCCAGGUCUGUACAGGAACAUGAGCAAGUUUCCUAAUGUUCUUAGUGACUUCUUUUACUAGAUUUCCAUUGUCAUCAAUCUUUAUACAACAAAUAUACAAAUUUAGUUUCGCACAAACUCCCCCUUCCUCGGCCAACACAAGUCUAUGUUGUAAAACAGCCUCUCUGGUUUGAGGAGCUUGGUCAGCCAAAAGAUCUAGUGCCUCAACCAUAAUCUCUACAACUGCUUGAAGCUUAAUUAUUCUGUUCAACAUAGAGAUUGGGAUUCUAUAUCCCCAACUUCUAUCUUGAGCCCAAGUGCCUGGCCCAUACUAACUGUUUUCUCUGGAGGCCAGGUACCACCCCAACCAUUUGCAUCUCCAGUCUGAGUAAUGGAGGUAUCUAAACCCCAUUUCUCUCUUCCCAAAUCAUCGUACAACUGAAUCCCUAAAUAUUGGUUUACCUAUUGAGGAGGAAAGAAAAAUUUUGGCCUUAUUAGUCCAAUAUAGCAAAUCCCUAUCCAAUUAAGAGGUAGGGGAGUAUCAGCAGUUAGUCCACAGAUCUAAUAAUGACCCAUUAGAACAGGUUGUUCCCUCGAAAAUAUGUCCGAAAUAUUCCUUGUAAAAGGGCAAUAUUGCUGGUCCCUCGUCCCUAGGGGACCUUCCCCUACAAAGGUGACAUACUGACGUUUGAUAAACCCCGCUCCUUCCUCCAACUACAAUUGGCAACUGGCCAUUGACCUGCUAGGUUAGAGGUUCUCCAAAAUGUGGGAAACAAGAGUCCCAUUGAUGGGGGAAAGAUUCCAAUCUCUGAUUCCCAACCCCCCUAGCUAAUGUAAAUUACCCUUUGACUCACAAAUCCUGGUCCCUUUGAAUUCCAAUAGAAGAUCUGGACCUGUCCCAGCCCCACCAGGAUCUGAGCCAACUUUGGGGCUACACCCCAAAGCCCCUGGAGCUAAGUCUUUUACCUUGUCCAGAGUUAAGUCCACUCACAUACACUAUUUCCCAGCUUCAAACUUUGCCCUGUUUACAAAAUCUAUCUUCUGUCAAUGGCCACUGAUGUUUCUUUUCCAAGUUCCAGAAAUCAGUCCCAUUAUGAAUCUGGAAUCAGUUACUAAGGAUCCAGGCUGGGCUUAAGGGGAUAGGUACCCAUGGCCAUUGACUCAAUUGUUGGGAUCCACCACAGAUCCAACAAUUUGAUAAGUUAAAAGUUCUCCCUAUAUUCUGCAUGAGCAGGAGGAACUGGUUCUCAUCUCUGGAAGGUAAAGGUCUGGUUUCUAUGGCUAUCAUGAGGAAAUAGGCAAACCCAAGGCUCAGGGAAAGCCCCAUGAGGGUCUCCCAAAGUAAUUAAUGUAAAUAAAGUCAUACAAUUACAAUGCACUGGAUUUUGAGUUUGUGUUCCCAUUCAGUGGAGGUCCCCUCCUCGAGGUUUCCCCAUUUUCAACUGUCCACUCGGAUAAAGGUGGCGCCACAGGUCCUUUUGUUCUGGUGUGGUGUGUCCAGCCUCGUUCCUGGGUGCGAAUUGCAGUGUCCAAGGUCAGUAUCACCUGGUAGGGCCCGUGUCAGCACACGGAGUCAGCUUCUCAUCCUUCCGGAGUCAGCUUCUCAUCCUUCCAGGAACGGACCAACACCCAAUCUCCAACCUGAAUUCUAUGAAUAGGGAAACCUAGGAGUCCGAGCUAUUAACCCUUUUGUUGAAGUCCUAGCAAUGAAUUAACAUCUCUUAAGAAAUAAAUCCUUUGUCUCUAAGAUAGGGUCCCAGUUUCCCAUAGGACAAGCCUGGAGAGGAUGACCGUACAAUAAUUCCUAAGGCGAAAGCCCUCUAUCUCUAUGUGGCUUGGUUCCGAUUCUGACCACAGUGAGAGGAAGACAUUUAGUCCAAGGUAGUGGAGUCUCUAAAGAUAAUUUAGUCAGUUGCUGUUUUAUUUCUUGAUUCAUCCUUUCUACUUUUCCAGAAGAGGGAGGAUGCCAAGGGGUGUGGAGAUCCCAAGUGAUUUCUAAGGCCCCAAUCAGAUUCUGCCAUACUUGGGCAGAAAAAUGUGUUCCUGAUCCUAGUCUAUCCUCUCACUAUUCCAUAUCUGGGAAUAACUCAUUCUAAUAAGACCUUACUGUGGAGGCAGUUGCUCGGGCUGAGGGGAAUGCCUCCACCCAUGAGGUCAGAUGGUCCACUAUGACUGGCAAGUAUUUAAGGCGACCCACUGGUGGCAGCUCAGUGAAGUUCACCCGGAUGCUUUAGAAUGGUCCGAUUCCCGCAGCUCGUCCCCCUUUUGGGAUCUGGCGUUGAGCAGCCUUGUUGUCCUUCGACAAAACGGGACAGGCAUCCACCAGUUGUCAGGUCAUAUAUAGGCCAAGGGAAACAUACCUUGUCAGCACAGCAUCACACAGGUUUUGGACAUCCCAGUGACUGCCCUGGGGCAGCUGCUGAAGGACCUGCCUCAUACUUGCUUUGGUCAGUACCUCUCUGCCAUCAGGUAAGAGCCAUCAUCUUUCCGAGUCCCAACUGCUCUGAGAGUCGAGGCCUUCUCUUUUUCCUUCUGGGCAAAACUGGGAGAGGGUAGACUAGGGGGAAGUACAGGUAGCAAGGCCAUUAUAUGAGACAUCUCUUGGUCUCCAGCUCCCUUGGGCUCCUCAUCUGCUAAUCUAUUUCCCCUUGCCUCAAAAGAUUUUCCCUUCUACCACUUUAGAAGAUCCAUCUAGAAAUCAAUUUACUCCCCAGGCAUUGGGGAUUCUUGUGAAUCCUCUUACUUUCGUCUGAAAAUCAAUUAACUCUAAACAACAAUAUUCCUGUGCAGCGGUGGUUCCGUUCCAAGGGACAGGAGGCAGGAUUAAGAUGAUCAACAUUCUGGAAUCGGUGAGCUCUUCCCCAGCCCUCUGAUUUCAUAUCGUUCUUACUUGGUGUGGGACACUUACUAUAACACUGCCUCCAAAGGUGAGCUUCCUACUCUCUUCUACCAAGAGAUUGGUAGCAGCUACUGCUUGUACACAGGUCGGCCAUGCUUUGGGUCUAAUACUUUAUAAGUCAGGGGCCUGGGAUUGGGGUCGCAGAGAUAGCCCGGUCUUCCAUCAAGAUACAGUGUAAAAGGCUCUAGGCCUAAACCUUAACCUAAUCAGGGCGUGACGACAUUCCUGGCUUUUUCAAAAGGCAAGGUGGGAGUGGCCCCAAGUUCUUGGGCUAAGUAAGCCUUUAGAUAAAGAAACUCUAGCCCCAGAAAAUAAAAAGGUUAAAAAAGAUUAAAAGCAGCCACCAAAGUCUGGCCGCAAAUUAAAUAUCUCUUGAAGGCAGUUUUACUUUGGGUACCUGUCCUUGUUUAACAAUUCCACCUUAUGACCUAUCACAGUCACCCCCGAAUUCAAAAUUCCCAGCAAAUACUAGCUGCAGUCCCAAAAGAUUUUAUCUCCUACAGCAGUUAUCAUUUAUCAAGGCUUCCGAUGAAUCUAGUUCAAGAAUCCCAGUAAAGGGUUCAUCCUAGAAAGUUCACAGUUUAUACAGCUUAGAUAGUUCUAAGUUUAACAUUACACAGAUCAUUUUGCCUUUAAAAUACUCAAAUACAAAGAAACAAAAUUCUAAUUGCACGUUGUCCAUCCCGUUUCCACAUAAAAGAAACUUUUAGAUCUUUCAGAUUUAACAUUGAUACUCUCUUCAAUUUUUGGAAAUAGCCCUAUCAAAUUAUCAGAUCAGAUUAAAAUCCUGCUCUACAUAUUUUUAUCAUCUUCCUCAAACAAGGAGACUAUCAUGCAGAUAAAUAAACAUUAAAUAAUUUGCUUUAGACAGAUGGGCUCUUAGUAAAAAUAAAUCGCUUUCAGAUAACUUACAGUUCCAACAAACUUCUUAGAGCAGCUAGACUUGAAAAAUAAAAAUAAAACAUUCCGUUAUUAACACUAUAUAAAUGUAGGCUGUUCCUUCAAACAGUAGAAUCAAUUGAUAGCUGAACCAGCAAGGUGUGGCAGUUGUUAAAAAGCCACCAUACUUAAUGGGGAAGGGGGAUUAGAUCACCUGACAAGGUCCCUCUCCACGUGGCCACCCUUCCCCACUCCACCAUGCUUCCCAACCCUAACUUAUCACAGCUAACUUUUUAGGGUGCCAUUUCCCCAGGAUCCAAUCUGCCAGCUCAAGACAGGCCCCAACCUCAUGGAUACAUCUCCUUUUCCCAUGGCAAACGGCAGAUUCAUUAUGGAAUUGUGCCUUUUUCUUCCAUUUCUGGAGAGCUAUUUUCCUCUUUUUCUCUCACAUCAUCUCUUCCUGUUCCCAUCUCUCUCCUUCCAAAGCUUACUUGCUUAAACCUUCUCCAACAUAUGCUAAAAAUUCCCAAACCAAUGCUAGAUGCUCCAUUUAAACUAUUAAUUGCUUUUGCAAAUCAGUCUUUCUUGUCCCUCAUCUUUAAGUCAAAAAAAAUUUUUUUAAGCUUUAAAGGUUUGCAAAUAACUGAACCAAAUUUCAUAAAACUUAUCCAUGCCCAACAGAGAUGACAAAUUUUUAAGGCAUAACUCAGUUACAAAUUACCCAGUACCUCUAGAAAACAACAUACCAUCUAAGUAGGGAGAUACAACCCCAACCUCCCCUAAGGUAAACUACCAGCAUUUUGUUUUAAUACCUAUAUUCUAACUUAAAAUCCCAAACACGGCUUUCAUUUCCCAAUAAUAUAAAACCACUUUCACCAUCAUAUUUAAAAUAAUGAAUUUCACCAAAUAGCAGUUUCUUUCCCUUGGUCCCACGUGGCUCUGCUGCAGGCCGGGUCACAUGGGAGGGAAAGGAAAGAAGCCACCAUCUUCACUCUCUCCAUCCCACAUACUUCCCCCAUGUAUAGGGUGAUUGUGCUCCCAAUUGGGAUGGGCUAAAGGCAUUUCUGAUCAGCUGAAACUACUCCUGCAGCCGGAGGGUUUCUCCUGUCCCAGUCCUUCAUAGCUGCAUCUCUAAUCAGUCCCCUCUCCUCUAGUGAGAAGAGAGAAUUCAAAAUAGACCUAAAUUCUCCUCCCGACCCCGAGGGCCCUUGGGGAGGGCAGAUGGAAUCAAAUCCUUUCCUUCUCUUUCAGGUACAAAUUCAGUCUUUGGCCCACCCAGUGCCUCCACCAAUAUCUUUGUCACCCCAGACAACACAGCAAUGCCUUAUUCCCUAGCUUUUUCCUUCUAUAUUUUGGCAAUUCAUUCCAAUUACUUAAUUUAUCUCCCAAGGGACUAUCUCCGGUAUUUUCUGAUCAUUUUUCUCCUUUCUCCCGGCGAGGGCUGCCUGGGACUGGGCCACACCCAUUGAAUUUGGACGGAAUCUAAAUUCCAAAACGCCCAAACACGCCAAUUGUCUCCAGUCACCCUAGAAGGCCUCGCCAAGCCAAUCCUGUCCAGAGACCCAGAGGUUAAGACUCCAGGCCUCACAGGGUCCUGUCCAGAGACCCCUCCAGAGUUUAGGACUCAAGGGCCUCCCAGGGGGCUUACCUCUGGGGUGUUGCACAACAAAUUGCUUGACUGAUACCUGUCCUCCACUGAACCGGUCUGGAUUUUUCCGUGGAGUUUUUCCCUUUGCUUUGCUCCGAGUUCCUCCACUUCGGGCCCACUUUACCUUGGGGAGUAAGGAGAAGCCCUGGACGCUGGCCGGCUGCCUAAAUCAGGGCAGGGAACCACCCUGGAGGAGGCACCCUAGGGGGCAGGGUCAACACUUUUAAUCCCUAACACCCCCUCCCACCACUGACACUCAUCCUCACUGGCUGAGGAUCUUACAUUCUAAAUGUGGGAACUACCCAAGAAAUUGAACUUGACCAAUAAGUACAUAGUUGCCCAUAUUUGACUGAAAUAGGGAGGAUAACAAGGGGACUUAUGUCCUCCGGAGGAUAGCAGGGAGGGGGCUUAAGUACGCCCUUGACUUAAUGCUUAAAGUCCUUCAGGCCUACUCAAACUUUGAAAUAGAUGAAACCUUACUCGAUUUUCACGGCUGUCUUAAAAGAUCUCACCUCUUCUCUUUCACUUCCUUCCCUCUUUUUUCUUUCUUUCCUUCCUUCCUUCCUGUUAUACCUUUUUUUUUUUUUUUGCCCAGAGAGCGGGUUGUUUUUUAUUGUAAUAAUUUUAUUUAUUUGAAUACACAUUGUUUUAUGAAUCAUGUUGGGAGAGAAAAAGCAGAACAAAAGGGAAAAACCAUGGGAGAGAUAAAAAACCCAACAGAAAACAGACAGAAAAAAGAAGUGAGCACAGUGCGUGUUAUUUAUGUUCAAUCUCCACAGAUCUUUUUCUGGCCGCAGACGGCAUUUUCUGUCCAAAGUCUAUUGGGACUGCUUGGGAUCACUGACCCGCUGAGAAGAACCGACCCUUUCCCGGUUGAUCAUCGCCCAUGUUUGCUGUUACUGUGCACAAUGUAUUCCUGCUUCUGCUUGUUUCACUCAGCAUUAGUUCGUGUAAAUCCAGGCCUUUCUAAAAUCAGUUUGUUCAUCACUUUUUAUAGAACAAUAAUAUUCCAUAAUGUAAAUCUUGGUGAGUUCAGUGGCCGGCAGGCAAAGGUGGCUCCAGAAAUGGUCUGGCCACACCAGGAGGUGGCCAAGCCCACCAGGGGUAAGGAGGGGAAGGGGCUCAACCUGCUCCCUGAGGAGAAGCCAAUUAGCCCCUUCGGGUCUCCCUUCCUCUCCUCAACAGGGAAUGCCGCCCUGCUACCCCAAGCUGGGCUCUGUCCGGGGCAAAAUGGGGCAGGGCUUGGUCAUGGGCUGGCCCGCCAUCGGGACCCUUCCAGCCUGGGCGGCCCUGGACAUUUGCUCCCCCUGGGCCCUCUGCAGGAAAUGCCCAGCUCCCAGGGCUGAUCCAAGGCUCCUUUCUGUGAGGUGCUCUCAAACACCGGCUGCUGUGCUGUGGUGCUGGAGGCUCUUCACCCCUCUGAGCCUUCUAGAAUCAGAAAUUGUUAACACUGGGACAGAUCACAAAGCCCAACCCUGAAGCCCAACCCAGCUGGGGAAACUGAGGCCCAGAAAUGCGGAGGGCCUUGCUUGAAGGUCUGCAGAGUCAAGACUAGAACCCAGACCUUUUGACUCCCGUGGAGCAGAGAUCAGCGGGCACCAGCUCAGAUCCUGGCUCUCUGACCUCUACCUCUGGUCCCAUCACAAGGUUAUCAGGGCCUCUGCCCUAACGGGAGACAGUCCUCCCUUGGGGGACAGGGAAAGCCUGGUGAGGGAGAGAGGCUGGCACGUGCUCCGAGGGCUGCCCUCGAGGAGGCAGAAGGAAAGAGGGAAAAGAUGUUCAGGGGGUGGUGAGGCAGGAGGCAGCUUCGGGACAGAACUGACUGACCUGCUGAGGGCUCCGAGAGGGAGCAGAGAGAAGGGGCUGGGGGCUGAGCCUGGGGAGCUUCCCCAUCUAGGGCUGGGCUGGGCCCAUAAUGAUGAGGGAAAGAUUCCAAUCUUUGAUUCCCAACCCCCCAAGUUAAUGUAAAUUACCCUUUGACUCACAAAUCCUGGUCCCUUUGAAUUCCAAUAGAAGAUCUGGACCUGUCCCAGCCCCACCCGGAUCUGAGCCAACUUUGGGGCUACACCCCAAAGCCCCUCGAGCUAAGUCUCCGACUUAAAAGGGCUAUGCUGGGAACCCAUCUUGGCAGAGAUUCCAAACAUGGCAGCCAUGUGAGGAGUCUCUGUCCACUGGCCCCUCUGUCCACUGGACCCUCUGUCCAGUGCCCUCCUUGUCUCUACCUUCACCAUCUCCUACUUCUAAACUCAGUAUUAAACCUCUUUUAUCAAUCUAGCUCUCGGGCUAAUAAAAUGCUUUUAUUGGGAAUACCACUAGACCUCAUUUACCACCUUAUCCUUGCGCCGAAUCCAAGGGGGUUGCAGGGGAACUCUGUUUGACUCUCUGUACCCCAAACUCGCCACUAGACCUUAACUAAAACCCUAAUUUCAUUUAGAUCCCCCAAAUGUAGACCUCAACACAUGGUCUACACCUCAACAUUUGGUUCCUGACCUCAACAACAUAACCACAGGAAGCAAAGAGCACCCCUUCUCUGGAGCCUCGGGGAAAGGGGCUGCCGAGGGGCUUCCGACUCCUCCUCAGUCUGGCAGGCAGGUUGGCCAUUCCCUCGUCUCUAUGUCACCCCCCAGCCCCGUUCCAGUAUUUCUCCUUACCCGGGAAGGGCCAAAGGCCCCAACCCUAUCCAGAGUUUGGCGCUGGGGGCCUUGGGUCCUGGGGCUUUUAGUCUCGGUUUCUCCUUCCAGCCAGUCCGCCAUUGGGGGGCCUUUCUCUGUGGGUUCCUUUUGUGGGAUAUUACCUCCUCUUGGUGCUGUUUGCUCGCUCAGAACCAGCAUGAACCCAAAAAAAAAAGGAGGGGGGAGAUGGAGACAGGGCGGGGCUCGGAGGGGGGAGAUGGAGACAGGGCGGGGCUCGGAGGGGGGAGAUGGAGACAGCGUUGAGCUUGGAGGGGGGACAAAGAAGGUGGCCAACAGCUGGGUGGGCCAGCCUGGCCUGGGGCAGGCAGCCAGGGGCAGGCGGAGAAUGAGGCCGUUUUCUUUCUCCAGAAUUGAAGCGGAGACCCUGAGAGAACUGCAAAGCCGCCCGAAUGAAAGACAGCAUUAAUUGGGAGUCCAGGUCUGGCAAGGAGCCACAUGGCUCCCGGGGAAGUGGCUCGGGGUGGGGAGAGUUGGGAGGCCGGCAGCGAGCAGACACAGUGAUUCCUUUUUGCAGAUGAAAUCACGAUGUUUUUGAAAACUAACCAGCCAAGCAAAAAAGUCACGGAAAUGUAACCUCAGCAGCCUUUGCAAGGUGCAAAAUCAAUCCGCAAAUCAUUAACCUUCUGUAUGUCACCAGGAAAAGUGAGAAAGAGGAGAUGCGUGUGGCGUAACUAUGGAAGCUACAAACUAUCUGGGAGCGGGUCUGCAGGAUUCAUCCAGGAGUUGGGAACGGGCUACAAGGGUGGUCUAAAUACCUGGAGAAAUAAUAGUUGCUCAUAGGUAGCUCGAGCCGAGACAACAAAAAGGACAGUGAAGUCGCCAUUCAGUUCCAUGCCAUCAGGUCCCAAAGGGCUAAAAAACAGUGAAAUGCCUGUGGAAGAACCAAGGCUGGGGAAUCUCCAGGGUAAGCGGAGAAAGGUGGGAAGGAAGAGCAUCUCUGGGCCCCCGUUCCACACUGUCACAAAGCAAUGUUCACACAAUUAUUUGGCAGCGAUUACGAAAGGCCGAGGUCAGUGGGAACUGAUUAGGUUCCCAACGAUGGGGCAGCUCGGGCCGCAGGAACUGAUUAGGUUCCCAACGAUGGGGCAGCUCGGGCCGCAGCGGAUCCGGAACCAGGAGACUUGUCUUCCCGAGUUCAAAGUUGGCCUAAGACACUUACUGUGGGACCCCAGGCAAGUCUCUGCCCCAUUUGCCUCAGUUUCCUCGUGUAUAAAAUGAGCUAGAGAAGGAAUGGCAAAUGUCUGGGCCAAGAAAACCCCCAGCGGGGUCAUAGGAAGUGGAUACAAGUGCGCCGUAGAAAUGAUAAAGCGGCCCCUUGCAGAGGAACUGGGGGUGACUGCUGCGGCCUGAGGGAGCAGAAGGGGGGGAGGGGGGGACACACCAGUUCCUUUAACUUUGCUCUUUGUCUAGAGCAACAACAAAGUCCACAAGGAAGAAGGUAAUGGUUCCCCUCGGCCUUUAUCAGACUCACCUGGAGGCCGGUUUGCGUCCUUGGGAAGGGACUGGGAGCGAACGUGGAGAAGAGAAAGAAGCAGGGGAGGGAGGGAGGGAGCCCAUGUUUGUUCAGGUAGUUAAGGAAAGGAUGGAUUAGUUACUGACGGGAGGCUCUUGGCCCAGAGCGCCUCGGCUCGGAGAUCUGGGGUCCGGCGGGGGAGGGGGGGGCUGCAACCGAUCCGGGCCUUAUUUCACUGACUCAGUGCAGAGAGGCCGGAAACCCCUGCGACCCUGAUGUGGGAAAGAUUCUAGAUUCCCGCCCCUCGGAGUUAAUAAUGUGAAUUACCCUGGAACUCACAAAUCCGGGUCCCUUUGAAUUUCAGUAGAAGAUCGGCCCGUCCCAGCCCCACCCGGAUCUGAGCCAACACCCACGGGCCCCUCGAGCUAAGUCUCCCAUUGUAAAAGGGCCCCCCGGGACCCCUCCUGGCAUUGAUUCCAAACCCGCCGCCACGGAGGACCCUCAGUCCCCGCCUCCUUAUCGCCGCCUCCGCUUAUCUCCUGCAGCCAAGCCCAAUGACAACCGCCUUUAUCACUCCGGCUCUCGGGGGAUAAAUGCGCCGCUACUAGACCUCCUUUCCCGCCGCAUCCAGGGGGUCGCAGGGGGCUCCGCUGGACUCCCUGUACCCCAAACCUGCCACUAGACCUUAACUAAACCCUGAUCUCAUUUAGGUCUCCAAAGCCAGACCUCAACAAGCGGCCCUCCCCGGGUCUCCCCGGGUCUCCCGGGGCCCAUGACCUCAAUUACCGGCCGUGCAAAUGACCCGUCUCAGCGUCAGUUUUCUUGUGUGUAAAAUGGGCACAACAGCACGACCCCGUUAGCUCUGCGGCGCGGGCCAGGGGAGGUGGGACCGGCCCGGUCGCCCUUGGUACUGCAGGGGAGGGAGACGAGGGCCCGAGCCCUGCAGAAGAGCCCCGGACGGGGGGGGAGGGGCCUUUCUGAAGGGGGGCCAGUGCUGGCGGAGCGCGCCGGGAAGCCGCCGGGGCCAGUUUCGGGGACGUUUCCCGGCAGGGGCCGGGCUGCCCUGGAAGGGGCGAGCUCCCGUCCUCGGGAGGUUUGCAGGCGGCGGUUGGAGCUCACUUGGCGCCGCCGCCUCUGGGAAGCCCCCCCAGAUUGCCCGCUCCUGCAUUCCCUCCCCCUCCCCUGGGAUUUAUUUUGCACCGAGCCGACGGGUCCCCUCCCCCACCACUCCGAGGAAGGGGGGAGGGGAGGGGGCGGACAGAUCUGGAGCCUCCCGAGUUAGACAAUAUAGAGUGUUUAUUUCAGACAAACUCGCCGAGGGCCGCCCGGAGGCUGCACCCUGCGCACCCCGACUCCCUCCCGUCCCCGGGGGCCCCGCGAGCCCCCAGACACACGCACACGGGCGCACGCACGCGCACACACACCCCUCGCACUCGCCGCGGGGAGAAGCUAAUACUAGAUCCGCGGGGGAGGGGGAGGGGAGGGGGAGGGGCGGCGGGUGUGGGCGGGGCCGGGGAGAAGCAGCCGCUCGAGGCUACCUUAUAUUCCAAUCUAGUAUUUCUAGUCUAUCGGCGUUAUUGCAUGUAUACGCUUGUUUAAAGUCAAAGUGAAGGGAGACGGGGGGCGGGGCUGCCUGCCUUCGACUAGAAGCCGUCACAGCCCGCGGGGGGGGGGGGGGGGGGGGGGAAGAGAGCCGAGGUGGGAGGGGCGGAGCUUGGAGGCCCCUCCUCCCUGGCGGGCGCUGUCCGAGGUACACGGGCCGUGUCUCCGGGCGUCCUUGCCGGGACCCUCACGCGGGGGCGGGGCGGGGUGGGGGCCAGUUCUCCGGACUCCCUGGUCGGGGUCGGGUCAGACCCGGCUCCCUGGGGCGGGAUCGGCGCAUCCUGGGCCCGGACCGAGCCUGACUCUCAGCUCCUGGGCCCGCCCCCAGGCUGGUUGGUCCCCAGCCUUGAAGACUCGCUUUUCACCGCGGGUCCGUCCCCCCCCCCUCCCCCGACACUUUGUUCCUGGGAUGGCUGUGGGGGCUCUGCAGGAACGGGAGGGAGCCGCAGGACAAGCCCAGCCAGGAGACCAGACGGGAGGGCAAGGGGAGGCCCUUCCCGCCGAGGGACUCCGCUCCUCUCCCCCCCAACUUCCCCCUUUUCCCAGCCUCCUUUCCUCUCCCCCGCCCCCCUCUGCUUCCCCU
rnacentral:lncRNA from 1 species